rnacentral:rRNA from 1 species
UAAGGAAUAUUGGUCAAUGGGCGGAAGCCUGAACCAGCCAUGCCGCGUGCAGGAAGACGGCCCUACGGGUUGUAAACUGCUUUUGCAGGGGAAUAAACCUUGGUAUGUAUACUGAGUUGAAUGUACUCUGAGAAUAAGGAUCGGCUAACUCCGUGCCAGCAGCCGCGGUAAUACGGAGGAUCCGAGCGUUAUCCGGAUUUAUUGGGUUUAAAGGGUGCGUAGGCGGCCUGUUAAGUCAGGGGUGAAAGACGGUAGCUUAACUAUCGCAGUGCCCUUGAUACUGAUGGGCUUGAAUGUAGUUGAGGUAGGCGGAAUGUGACAAGUAGCGGUGAAAUGCAUAGAUAUGUCACAGAACACCAAUUGCGAAGGCAGCUUACUAAAGUAUGAUUGACGCUGAGGCACGAAAGCGUGGGGAUCAAACAGGAUUAGAUACCCGUGUAGUCC